AAUUUAAUAUAAAUAGAUGAUACUUUAUGAAGUAGAAAUAAAAGUUUCUCGAUUUCUUCACUUUAAAAUAAUGAGGAGCAGCAUAUUUUCUGAAAUAAAAGGGAGGAAAAUUGCAAUAUAGUAAAGAAAAUUCAAGUUUCAUAAAAAUUGAAAUGGCACACAGACACAUUAUUGCAGUGUCAUUUAUCAACUGCAUUACAGAUUAUUAUAUGUAACAAUAUGUCAUGUUAUAUAAAUUAAAACAAUACUGAUACAUCAUUUUCAUUUCCUUUCUCAUACUCUGAUGAUAUGAAAUAAUAAAAUUUUCAAAAAUUAUUUGAUUCAUAAUUCAUUUUUCUAUCUAAAGGCCUGAUCCUCCCACUAUGGAUAAUAAACCCAAUUAAUUUACUAAAUGUAGUGGGUUGUUCGUCUGUUAGCCUAAAAGUCAGCUUAAUUUAAUAAAAUCAUUUCACAGACAUGAAGAGUUACAGACUAAUGUUUUUUUUUUUUUUCUUCUGUGCAUUAUAAUGAAGGCUUUAUAAAACUGCACAGCAUUUUUAGCUUUUUAAUCAACAUACUCUGUCCUACACCAACUACACUCAAAUUUCCUAUCAUGUAUGUCUAUGAAAGACGAUCAAACCAAUCAGAGUAGGUAUGGGGCGGGGCUGCACGUGCAACCCCGCCCCAGGUGCAGCCCCGCCUCGAUCUGCAGGCUGCAGCCGAGUGCUUCUCCGCAUGCGCGCUAAACACCGGAACACAAGAGCACCCUAACGGAAGCUAGAAUCCUUCUUGGCGCCGGGAAAAAGGUGGAUGGUUCGUUACCUCGUGGCUGAGCAAAAGGAACGUAGGCUACCCCUCUAGAGAAGCUUACCAAACUAUGACAACUUCUGCCUCGGAAAGAGUCCACACGGUUUCAUUUACCUCAGCACUGUGAUGUCUACUGACAAGAUGGAUAAAAUAUUCAUAUUACUUCAGAAGUUCAGACUGGAUAAAUACUACAAAAAAUUCAUUGAUCUUGGGAUUAAAGAAGAACUGGAUUUUUUUGACAGCGUCAAUGAUGUGACCUUAAAAACCAUGGAUUUUUCACAAGCAGAGAGGAACCGGUAUGACAAUAUGGUUGCUUAUCUGCGAAGAAUUGGCAAUGCACCAGUUCCAGAGAUGCAAGGAAUGCAUGUAAUGAAGUCUCUUAAUUCAUUUCGUAUAUCCUACCGAUUUCCAAAAUGUGCUGGGAUACAAGAAAUCACAGGUAUAGAUCCCUCACAAAAUACAGUGGAGGACCUGAUGCUGCGAAUCUGCCAUGAAAACAAGGUUGACCGAAACUUGUCUGUAUGCCUUUACACUGCUGAUGGUAUGCCUUUGACCGAUGACCCCUUUUUCAACACAUGGUCUUUGAAUGACAGACAUAUUGCAAGUGGGAGUGAACUGUAUGCCAUAUUUACACCAAGGGAAAAUUUAACAGAGUUACCACCAACGCAAAGACAGGCCAACAUCAGAAUUGAAGGACCGAGUGUCAUCCGCUGUCACAUAGCGUUACAGAAACGAAAACACUGUGGAGAUGAAUUUAAGAAAGUGGUUGCAUAUAUUAGGAGACUGAGUGGAUGCAAUGCUUUGGCUCAAAGUUUAUUCCAAAUGAUCUGUGGGAACUUGCAUGUAACUAGAAACCAAAAGAUUGCUGUUGUUGAGGGUCUUUACUUUCUUUUCCGAGAGUUGUUACCAGAUCGUAAUGAAACAUCAGGUCCAAAGGUCAUUGAAGAUGGUGAUGUUUUUGAAUAUGCAAAUAUUUGCUGGGCUUACCUGAUUGCUCAAGGACAGGUAUGUUUGCAGUGUUAUUUUUUUUUAAUGUUUUUGAAUAUGCAAAAUUAUUUUUCAUUCUAAUAGCAUGGAGUACAAGUACUGCAGCCUGUUUCCCCAAUAACCAGACUGUAAUGUGCAUCUUAAAUGACCACAUGUACUUUAUACAUUUCACAAUUUUGUGAAGAAAAGUUAUUUACCAGACUUGACAUCUUUUAAAGAAAAAGUAAAUACAAUUCAUAUUUAAUAAUACUGUAUAAAAUAUAUAUAUAUAUAUAUAUAUAUAUAUAUAUAUAUAUAUACAAAUAAAUAAAAAUAUAAAUAAAAUAUACUGUCUUGG
ensembl:lncRNA